rnacentral:lncRNA from 1 species
CUACCUGUGUGUGUAUUAACGCCCCGGCCUCCUCAUCAACUAUGGCCUGAGUAUGAUAGACUUAUCCAUGGUUUAAACAGAAUAUAUUGUUUUCAACUUUGAAAAUAAGAAUAUGGAAAUCCAGAUGCAGAAAUGUGAGAAGAAAAGAGAGUAAACAGAGUGGAAGGUCAGGUGACCUUGCCUGUCAUGAAUAUGAAGGUCAAGGUGUGUGAAUUGUGAAAUUUCCAAGAGAACCUCACUGAAGCAAAGAAUGGAGAAAGAAUCGCAUUUGGCCCUGGGAGCGUGCAGGGGUGAAUGGUGCAGGAGCUAAAUCUUUAUCAUACCCAGAAAUCAACAGCCACUAUUUGAAAUCAUCUAAAUUCGUGCUGCUAACCUUCAGUGUACACACAAAUCACCUGGGGAUCUUAUUAAAAGCUAGUUUCUGAUUCACUAAAUCUGUGUGAGGUGGAAGUUGAGGGCAGAGAAGCUCCCAAGGGUGUCAAGCUGACCCUGAACCCGACUUUGAGGGUUAAGGUCCCAAAUGGCAUCGCCAGCACCAGGGACAGACACUAAAAUUGUAGAAAUCAUCUCAAGAAAUGAACAGCCUCUAAGUCAGAUGUUGAAUGUGAAAGAAAUCAGGGUGUGUACGUGUGUGUGUGUUUGUGUGUGCACGUGUGUGCCUGUGUUUGUGCAUGUAUGUUUCUAUGUGUGCACAUGUGUGUAUGUGUCUGUGCAUGUGUGUUUCUGUGUGUGUGCCUGUGUGUGUAUUGGCUUAGAUCUGUUCGAGACUUUUUA